AUUGAACGCUGGCGGCAUGCCUUACACAUGCAAGUCGAACGGUAACGGGCCUUCGGGUGCCGACGAGUGGCGAACGGGUGAGUAAUACAUCGGAACGUGCCCGAUCGUGGGGGAUAACGAGGCGAAAGCUUUGCUAAUACCGCAUACGAUCUACGGAUGAAAGCAGGGGACCGCAAGGCCUUGCGCGGACGGAGCUGCCGAUGGCAGAUUAGGUAGUUGGUGGGAUAAAAGCUUACCAAGCCGACGAUCUGUAGCUGGUCUGAGAGGAUGAUCAGCCACACUGGGACUGAGACACGGCCCAGACUCCUACGGGAGGCAGCAGUGGGGAAUUUUGGACAAUGGGCGCAAGCCUGAUCCAGCCAUGCCGCGUGCAGGAUGAAGGCCUUCGGGUUGUAAACUGCUUUUGUACGGAACGAAAAGCCUUCUUUUAAUACAGGAGGGUCAUGACGGUACCGUAAGAAUAAGCACCGGCUAACUACGUG
rnacentral:rRNA from 1 species